rnacentral:lncRNA from 1 species
CCUCCCUGUAUGAGAAGUGCCUUUUCUUUCCUAGCCAUCCUGCUAACUUCUAAACCCUUAGGCCUGGUUUGAGCAUCACCAUUUCUCUCACUUGCCUUUCUGUUUUCUCCCUCCCCUUUCCAUAAAGAGUUAUGUGCCCCCAUUCUGUGUUCUCCUGAAUUCCUGUGGGUCCUAGAAAAGAAACAUCUUGAGGGCAAGGAG